rfam:Triticum aestivum genome assembly, contig: Triticum_aestivum_CS42_TGACv1_scaffold_001101_1AL
GAGGAUGAUGAGUUCAUAUUUGUCGCCCCCAUCUUAGGUUCUGCUUGGGUGGAUCUGUGCUGAUUGACAUACUUAUGAAUCUGACUC